UUUUUUUUUUUUUUUUUUAAGCUGUGGUAAAUGUUCAGCUCUUGGGUUUCUGAAUCCUUCCUCUCAUGUAACUGGGGUUUAUGGACACAGUUAAGCUUUAAGGUCUGUAGUUCUGUGUGGUUCUUCUCAGGUUUUGAUGUUGUGCUGGGUGUAUGUGUGUGUUGUGCUGGGUAGACAGGUUUUUGUUUUGUGUUUGUGUGGGUAUUUAUUGCAUUUUAUUCAGUUAAAAGCAUUUUGUAAUAUCCAUUUAUGUAUUAUUUGGGGGGGAGGCGGUUGAGACAGGGUUUUUCUGUGUAGCAUUGGUCAUUCUGGAACUUGCUCUGUAGGCUAGGCUGGCCUCAAACUCAUAGAGAUCUGCCUUCCUCUACCUUCCAAGUGCUGGAAAAAUAUUUCUCUUAAUUUUCUCUUUUUCACUUUAAUUCCCUCAGUUCACUCUGUCCCUUCCCACUUUUUGUGUCAUCUUUUGUUGUUGUUUAAAUGAUUUACUAAUGUAUGGGGACAUCCACUGAAGUGUAGUCCUUCUCUGGAAGCCAUUGAGUGUCCAUAGCUACUCAGUUAGAGGGGGGGACUUCUGAGCCCCCCUCUCUUCCAUGUACACAUUGACUGGCUUGAUUAUAUGCUGCUCUUGUGCAGGCAACCACAGCUGCUGUGAGUUGAUGGGUGCAGUGGUCUUGUGGUGUCCAGAAGUUUUACUUGGGCAUUCCCAAACCUUAGGGUCUUAGAGUAUUACUUCCCCCCUCCCUCAUCAGGGGUAGAGUUUUGUUUUGAUUUUGCCUUUUUGGGGAUGGGGUGGGGGAUACUAAUUGUCUCAUUUGUAGCUGAGCACUGCAAUGGCACAUCUGCACUUUGUACUUUGACCAGUUGUGAGUCUCUUGCAUUCUUCACCUGCCACUCCACUGCACAAGGAAGCCUCUCUUAUGCAGUCUGAGAGCUGCACUGGUCUGUGAGUGUAGACACAGUUUAGAAGCCAACUUGUUAUAAUGUCCAUUUAGCAGAGUAAUGAUAGAGGCUCACUCCUGGGCCUGUUGGUUCUUAGCCACAUGAUCCUUUUGUAGCACUCAAUCACACACCUAAAAGGAUAAAAAUGUCAGCGUGUAAUAGAUUCCUGCAUACCCAGGUCUAUCAGUAUUCAGAACUGACAGGAUGCAUAGGAUCAGCCUGAAUGUCUAUCAGCCGAUGGAGAGAUAAAGGUAUACUGUAUACACAAAGUAGACUUUACUUCCACCAUAACGAAUGCGGUUAUGUUAUUUUUUGAAGAAAUAGAUAGAUCUGGAUAACAUCAUAUGAAGAAAAACGAGCAAAACUCAAAUACCACUUUUUCUUUUAUACAUAAACUCCAGAUUAGAGUACCUACAAACAAAUCUAAGUAAGACACAUGAAAAUAGAGGACUUUGGGGAGUAGAUUGGGAUAGUAAAAGGAUAUAGAAUGGUAUAGAGCAAAAUACGUGAUAUACAUGUAUAGAAAUUGCGUAGCACAACAUUUUUGGUAUGCUAACUUAUACUUGUGCCUAAUCUUAAGGUAAAAGAAGAAGCCAUAUAACUAAAACUGACUUUAUUUUUCAAAAAGGUACUGUAUUGAAUCAGUUUUUUUGUUUUGGUUUGGUUUGGUUUUUGUUUGUUUUUCGAGACAGGGUUUCUCUGUAUAGCCCUGGCUGUCCUGGAACUCACUCUGUAGACCACGCUGGCCUUGAACUCAGAAAUCUGCCUGCCUAUGCCUCCCAAGUGCUGGGAAUACAGGCAUGCACUGCCACUGCCCGGCCUAAAUCAGUAAUUUUGAUAGUUAAUUUAUUUCUUUUCAUCUUAUCCAUUACUUUGGAAUUAGAUGUGAGUUGUCAAACUUUUGUGGGGUAGAGAAUGUAUGAAUCAUAGUCAUAGCCUUGUGCUAUGGCUCCUAAAAAGCUUUUUGUUUUUUCUUUCCUGUUUCUUUUGAGACAAGGUUUCCAUUAACUCAGUAAGUGUGGCCUCAAACUUUAUAAGUAUGAGGGUGACCUUGAACUUCUGACCCUCUCACCUCAGCACCACUCUGCCAUUUUAUGUGGUGUUGGGGAUAGAACCUAGGGCCUCAUGCACAUUAGCCAAGCACUCAACCAGUUGAGCACAUCCCCAGCCCCCAAACACUGUCUUGUGUUACAGUGUGAGCACAGCCAUACAUGGAAGACGGUCUGCCAUGUAUAAAGAUGAAAUCUCAUCUGUGGACAUGGAAAUUUGAUUUUUAUACAUGAAAGAAACUGGUUGUUCUCUUCCAAGGAUGUUAGUGGUAAGCAGAUGUUUGUCUUUUAAUAGAUAAAAGUCAAGAACCAAAAGUGUUAACCCUCUUUUUGGUGUAGCAGUGCAAAUAUGUUAAUUGUAUUAAAACAUUUCAUUGUGGUGAGAAAUACAUGCCAUGCAGUGUACUGUCUUAAUCAUUUCUAAGUUUAGUACUGAUAAUUGUAUGUGGUUUAAUGUUGAACAGCUAUUUCCAGAUUUUUUUAUCUUGUGAAGCUGUAACUCGGCCAUUAAACCCGUGACUGCUCAUUCCCCCAUCCCUAGCCCCUGGCACCACAGUGCAUUUUCUUCUGCCUCUGAGUUUGACUACUCCUAUUUGAGUGGAGUCAACACUAGACACUAUUAUCCUUCUUGCUAUGGCUUAUUUUACUUAGUGUAAUAUCUUCAAAGGUUUACUAUAUUUCAGCAAGUGUCAGAAUUUCUCUUUUGUUAGGCUUAUUAAAGUCCUACAGUAUAUUUAUUCACUGAUCUACCAAUGACAUUUACAAUGCUUCCACCUGUUAUAGUAAUGCUAUUGUGAGGGAUACUUUAACAGAAUCUUUGUAUGCUUUGACCAGCAUUUAUUUCCUCAAUCCACACCCCAGCCGAACUCAGUGUGUUCGUUCUUGUGAGUAAAUUUGUUUGAUUCCACGUGUGCAUGGUCUGUCUUUCUUUGCCUGGCUGUGGCACUCAGCAAUGUCUUACGUAGGUUUGCUCAUGCUUGCUCGUUGGGAGGAUGUUUCUAAAGGUAGAGAGUAUCCCAUUAUAGAUUUAUCUGCUGAGUGGCACUUAGGCUGACUCUGUGUCUUGGCUGUGAUGGACAGUGCUGCAGGAAGUAGGGAACACAAAUGGGUCUGACAUUGGUUCUUCUGUUCCUCUGCAUAGAAGCAUGCCGAAUGGCUGGGCCAGGAUAUCUUCCUAGACUUCUAGCCGUGUUUUCAAUUCAUCUCCAAGGAAACAUCUGUCUGAGAUUGUAGCCUGCUUUAAAUUAUUUAGCCAACUAUUUUAACUUAAAUAAUUAUUACUGUGUGUGGAUGAUGGUGUGUGUGUCACACGCGUGUGGAGUUGGAGAACUGAUUGGUAGAGUUGGUUUUUUUUCCAUCUACCGUUAUGUGGAGUCUGGUUACUGCUGUGGGCCUGGGAAGCAUGUACCUUUACCCCUUGAAGCAUCUUGCCUGGCCCAAGCCAACCAGAUUUGAUUAGUUUUUAUAUUUUUGCUGUUGUUUGUUUUAGGCAGCCAGCAUUUUAAACAUAGACUUUGUCUUUUCCCUUUUCAGCGUGCUGAUAAAGUACAGUUGGAAAGAACAUGAAGCAGGGUUGAUUUGUUGUAAAUACCAGUAGAGGUGCUCAACAUCUCAAAGUCUUAUUAUUUUUAGUUACUGUUAAUUUCUGUGCUGAGGACUCAGCCAUCCAGGCCGUAUGCGUGCUAGCAAGUGCUUUAUUCCUGAACUAUAUCCUAGCUCCUGUGUUUUGAGACGGUCUCAUUCUGUAGUCCAAGCUGACUGGGAACCUAGGGUCCAACAGCUUUCAGUCCCUUGAGUUGUGGGUAUGAUAGGAGUGUGCCAGCAGUGAAUUACACGGUAAACAAAUAACCACUUAGAACGAGGAGCUUUUCUAACGUUACAGAAAUAGGUUCAGGAUUAAGUUUUUCCCGUGUCAGAGAAUUAUUCAGUCAUACUUUGCCUGUGUAGUAUAAUCAACUAAGGUGGUAAGUGAUAAGUUUUAUGAUGUAUCCAGGCAAAAUAAUUUCAAGUUCUUUUUUUUUUUUUAAAUUCAUGUAGCAAGUUGAAGCAAUGUUUUGUCCUUUGGCUUAUGUAUAGUAGCAUCAGUCAUUUAAAUGAUCCCAAGUAUAGAUGGGCUCUGUUCAUAGAUGGCAGAGAAACAGCAGUUUUCCAGUCUUAUUACUCUCAGUUCUGUGUGCUGUGCUGUAUUCGUGCCUUUCCUCUUUCCAUUCGUCAUCUCAUGCUCUUUGCUGAUGACAAGUGACUCAUUGCCUCAGUGCAGACCCCUGAGUGUCCCUCCUCACUGCUGGAUAGACAAGUUAGCCCUGACAGUCAAAGUCACUAUUGAUCUUUCUUAUUUACACCUCUAAAGUAAACCAAAUUCAGCAUC
rnacentral:lncRNA from 1 species